UACAGAGGUCUCAAGCGUUGUUCGGAUUCAUUGGGCGUAAAGGGUGCGUAGGCGGCGCGGUAAGUCGGGUGUGGAAUCUUGGAGCUUAACUCCGAAACUGCAUUCGAUACUGCCGUGCUUGAGGACUGGAGAGGAGACUGGAAUUUACGGUGUAGCGGUGAAAUGCGUAGAUAUCGUAAGGAAGACCAGUGGCGAAGGCGGGUCUCUGGACAGUUCCUGACGCUGAGGCACGAAGGUCAGGGGAGCAAACGGG
rnacentral:rRNA from 1 species